rnacentral:rRNA from 1 species
CUCCAGACUCCUACGGGAGGCAGCAGUGAGGAAUAUUGGUCAAUGGGCGAGAGCCUGAACCAGCCAAGUCGCGUGAGGGAGUACUGCCCUAUGGGUUGUAAACCUCUUUUGUCGGGGAGCAAAAGCCGGACGUGUCCGGCUGUGAGAGUACCCGAAGAAAAAGCAUCGGCUAACUCCGUGCCAGCAGCCGCGGUAAUACGGAGGAUGCGAGCGUUAUCCGGAUUUAUUGGGUUUAAAGGGUGCGUAGGCGGGACGGUAAGUCAGCGGUAAAAAGGCGGGGCUCACCUCCGUCGAGCCGUUGAAACUGCCGUUCUUGAGUGAGCGAGAAGUAUGCGGAAUGAGUGGUGUAGCGGUGAAAUGCAUAGAUAUCACGCAGAACUCCGAUUGCGAAGGCAGCAUACCGGCGCUCAACUGACGCUGAAGCACGAAGGCGUGGGUAUCGAACAGGAUUAGAUACCCUAGUA